rnacentral:rRNA from 1 species
CAUUGAAAUGGCACGCGAGCUGGGUUCAGAACGGCGUGAGACAGUUCGGUCUCUAUCUACUGUGGGCGCAAGAAAUUUGAGUGGAUCUGAUUCUAGUACGAGAGGACCGAAGUGGACGAACCUCUGGUGUUCCGGUUGUCACGCCAGUGGCAUCGCCGGGUAGCUAUGUUCGGAAAAGAUAACCGCUGAAAGCAUCUAAGCGGGAAGCCGGCCAAGAGAUGAGUCAUCCCUUGUGCCUUGAGCACACAUAAGGGUUGUUGGAGACCACAACGUUGAUAGGUGAGGUGUGGAAGCGUGGUGACACGUUAAGCUAACUCAUACUAAUUGCCCGAGAGGCUUAACCAUACAACGCCCAAG